CACAUUGGGACGUGGCGUAAAGUGGUGCCAGGGUAUAAAACAAAGAAAACGUAACAUAUAAAAAAUACAAGGAAUAUCGUGAAAAGCUAUUCCCUUUUCGCAUUAUUUUUAAAGUCUAGUCAGUAAGUACGAAAUAGAAAAAAAAAGGUCUUAGUGCAAAACAAAAUGAUUUAACUGCGCUGAUUCUUGAUUUGAUUUAAUUCUCAUGUAUUUACGCUUAUAUAUUUAAUAUAUAUACAUAUGUGUAUAUAUAUAUAUAUAUAUAUGUCUAAUUAGAAUCCAAUGGAGUCUUAUGUCAAGAUCAAUUUUUCCUAGUCUAUUCUGUAUUUACAUGUACGUAUAUAGAAAAUUAAAACAAUAUACGUAUUGGUAUGCGUAAGACAAAAUGCAAUGCUCGUAUAUCGUGAUUAUUUACGUUGCAUUUUAAUCUGUAUGCUUUUUUAAUUCGACAAUAUAGAAAAAAUAAAGAAUAGAUUUGUCUAAAAGGAGAAUGAUACGUUUCCAUCGAUGAACAAGUGCGAUAUUUAUUCGUGAAUAAUAUUAAAACGAAAAACGUUAUGAUAUUUGAUUGAUUCUUUCUUGCUCCUACAUACUUUUCUAUUUUUUUUCCCUUCACCCCUCUCUUUUACAAAAAAAGAUUCCAUAAAUCCCUAUCGAAUUCAAGCUGUACGAGAGUUAUUUUUCGUGGAAACUUCAUGCCGAUCAAAGGGAAUGAAAAACAUCGUUCAAAAACUUCAAAGAGAAAAACGAUGGACGGUUGUCUUUGGCGCGAAAAAAAACUUUUUUUGACGAAUUCUCAUGACGUUGUCGUAACAACAUUAUAGCUUAAAAUUUGUGUUAUUCGUUUGUCUCUUUAAUGCAUUUCUUCGUUGAAUCAGAAAAGAAAUAAACAUUGUUAUUUCCUGCGUGACCUUAUCGUCUAAAACCAAGGAUAUUUUGGAAAUACGAGAAUUUUACUUUGAAUGUGUUAAAUUAGGAAUAACUCGACAUAUACAAGCUGAGUCAAUAGUCAUGGAAGCUUUUGGAUAUUAUGUAAUACAAAAAAAAGAAAAAAAAAAAAAAAGAAAAAGGAAAAAAAAAAAGAGAAAAAUUGUUCCGCUCUUGUUGGGAUAAAUCGAUUUUGAAAUCGUAACCAGAGCACAUUUUACUCUGCGAUCGAUGGAUAAUAGCGACACGAGUCACGUUUCGUGGAAAACCUUUACGAUGUGAACACGAAAUUAGCAAGGAGAAGGAAGGUCGAAACGAUUCUGAAAGUCGAGUAAACAUAAAUACAUUGUAUUAUGAGGCAAAUGGAAAAGUUUACGAUAACAGAAGUUAUGCUUGUAAUAUUCCAAAAAAGAAGGAUACACACGAUGCGGGAUUUUAAAUCCUGCGUCUCUUCAUUGCAAAGACACUAUCAGAGACAUCAUUGAUCGAAAAGACACUAGGAUUCCUCGUGAUUUAUAAUAAUAUUUCAAAAAUUUUAUAAUAAUUUAAUCUCCAAUACAACUAAUGGGUUAUAUUUAAA